rnacentral:lncRNA from 8 species
AUGUCGAGAGGAAGACAAAAUCAACGCUUGAAGAAACUGAUCAUCCUUCGAGGUUUGCCAGGAGUUGGAAAGACAAGCACGGCAGAAAUGCUCUGUGAUGAAUAUGCAAGACCUGAAGUGGAAAGAGGAAUUUUCUCCACUGACAGGUACCAUAAAAGGUCCAACUACAACAGGAAAUACUUUCAACGCAACCAUCAGCGGAAUAGAGAGGAUGGUGUGUAUUGGGUGGCUGGGGGCGAGGGCAGAAACAAUCUGCUCAUAAUGUCAUUACACACACAUAGUUUGUUGUUCUAUAAAGUACUGGUACUCUGGCUUGUUUUGACAGUUUUUAAAGCCUUGAACAGAGGAGUGGAUCCGAUCAUCGUUGACAACACAAACAUUUCUCUUUGGGAGAUGUGGCCCUAUAUCCACAUGGUGAGGACCUGUGUGUGUGUGUGUGUGUGUGUGUGCGUGUGUGUGUGCGUGUGUGUGUGUGUGUGUGUGUGUGGUGUGUGUGUGUGUGUGUGUGUGUGUGUUUGAUAUGCGUAUGAUUUCUAGUUUAGUUAGUCCCAGCUACCAGGCAUUGCAGAGACAUUUAAUGUUAUUUUUGUAACUCUCCACUUAUUUUCUAGUCAUUGUCACAUCCUUUGUACUUGAGAACCUAAACAGCAUCUGACUAACUACAAGACUGGUUGAAGCUGGUUUCCAGAUUACUUCCUACUAGGUGGCGCUAGAGGCGGAGUCAGAUAGUUUCCUCUUGGUUAGACAUGUUGUUGAUAAAUCUGACACUUUAUUCAACUUUUUACAAUGUUAUUAAUAUCCCAAUUGGUCUUCUGACAGACAAAUGGACAAAUUAAACAGAUUCAUGUCAUAAUAAAGUAUUCUUUCUCUCAGGGGAUGCGACAGGGUGACUAUGACAUCACUAUGAUGGAGCUGCCUAAAGGCUAUCCUCAGCACAAAAUCUCCAUCAAUAAGCUGUACAGGUCAGAAACAACCUCUUCAUUAACAGCCUACAUUCUCACAGUGUACACACAGUACAUGUGCAUUGGGGUAGGAUUGUAUACUGGUUUACCAGUUUUACAGCCAUCAAUAGAUUGUUAUUAAUUAUCUAUAAAUUACACAUUGGUUAUCAAUUCAAUGAUAAAAAAGCUGUGUUAUCUCCCUAUAGAUGGUGUCAUGGUAACAUCCCCAAGCGUACGUUCAGGUACUUUGAGGCUCACUGGGAAAAAGCUUACAACAUCAAGCAUGUACUUAACGACAGCUACUCCAUAAACCGCUGGGAGAGAAGCAAAGAAAAAUGGAAUGUCCAGUGAUGAAGACAUGCUGGCCUUCUCCCCCCCAAAGUCCACAAGUCCAGAACAAAUUCAUAAAAACCUACAGUAUUAUAUAGAGCCCUUAUUGCAUGGAACUUCCUUCCAUCUCAUAUUGCUCAAAUAAACAGCAAACCUGGUUUCAAAAAACAGGUAAAGCAACACCUCGCGGCACAACGCCUCGCCCCUAUUUGAUCUAGAUAGUGUGUGUAUGCAUUGAUAUGUAGGCUACGUGUGCCUUUUUAAAAAUGUAUGUAGUUCUGUCCUUGAGCUGUUCUUGUCUAAUGAUGUCCUGUAUUAUGUCAUUCUGUAUUAUGUUUCAUGUUUUGUGUUGACCCCAGGAAUAGUAGCUGCUGCUUUGCAACAGCUAAUGGGAAUCCUAUUAAAAUACCAAAUACCAAAAUUAUACUUGUCUUUCUUGCACUGACUCUAAGUCGCAUCUGCUAAAUGACCAAAAUGUUUACAUAGGCUGGUCCCAUCUGUUGCUGUCUCGCCAACUGCUAUUGUCAUCGGCGUGACCAUAGAACUAUAGGAGUUGGCAAGAGCACAAACUGAUCUGGGACCAGGCUACAGUAGCCUAUACAGUACUUAAAAACAUACAAAUAUUCAAAUAUAUUUUAAAAACUUCUAAGAAAUAGUUUCAAAAAGUGUUGACGGUAUUGAAAAACCAUCCCAUGGCUUUUUCCAAACACCCCGGUAUACGGUAUAUACAGAUACGUAUAUGUAACGGCUGUCGGGAGACAGAGUAGACCAAGGCGCAGUGGAGUUAGUGUUCAUCAUGAUUUGAAUGGACGAAAGAACACUAUACACAAAAACGAGAAAACUGACAACCAAACAGUAGUGUCAGGUGCAAUACGUAACAGAAACAAUUACCCACAAAACCCAACGAUAAAACAGGCACUUAUGUGUGACUCCCAAUCAGCAAUAACCAACAACAGCUGUGCCUGAUUGGAAGCCACACGGCCAAAAUCAAUGAAACAGACAACAUAGAAAAUGAACAUAGAAUGCCCACCCAAUGUAACACCCUGGCCUAACCAAAAUAAAGAACAAAAACCCCUCUCUAUGGCCAGGGCGUUACAGUAUAUUUUAAUAAUGCUGGCAACAUUAUACAGGACAGAAAAUUGGGUUGUGCUUUUCCAAACAACAACUCUGCAGAAUUACUCAUAUUAGUCUAAAGUGAGUCCCUCAGUUUCUGAUCUUUAACCCCCCCCCAUCCCUUUCUAUGGGGAAAGAAGCUGGAAACAUCUUCACAUUUCUUCCCCCAGUUUGAUCUUCUUCAUGAAUCCACACACUUUGUCUUUUGUUGCUGAGUAUUGUCCUUCAUGCAACCUUGUGAUUUCAAGGUUUAUAAAUUCUUCUCAAGUUUGUAAUUGCCACUUAAAUUAUUAUUAUUUUAUUUUUUAUUGACCCUUUAUUUAACUAGGAAAGUCAGUUAAGAAAAAAUUCUUAUUUACAAUGACGCCCUACCAAAAGGCAAAGGGCCUCCUGCGGGGACG